rnacentral:rRNA from 1 species
UGGGGAAUUUUGGACAAUGGACGCAAGUCUGAUCCAGCCAUGCCGCGUGCGGGAAGAAGGCCUUCGGGUUGUAAACCGCUUUUGUCAGGGAAGAAAAGGCUCCGGAUAAUACCUGGGGCUCAUGACGGUACCUGAAGAAUAAGCACCGGCUAACUACGUGCCAGCAGCCGCGGUAAUACGUAGGGUGCGAGCGUUAAUCGGAAUUACUGGGCGUAAAGCGUGCGCGGGCGGUUAUGUAAGACAGUUGUGAAAUCCCCGGGCUCAACCUGGGAAUUGCAUCUGUGACGGCAUAGCUAGAGUACGGUAGAGGGGGAUGGAAUUCCGCGUGUAGCAGUGAAAUGCGUAGAUAUGCGGAGGAACACCGAUGGCGAAGGCAAUCCCCUGGGCCUGCACUGACGCUCAUGCACGAAAGCGGGGGGAGCAAACA